rnacentral:lncRNA from 1 species
GACGCCCCAGCCGCCGAAGCAGGGGUGAUCAUGUGACUCGCGGGGGCGGGGCUGCGCCGGCCGCUUCCCAGCCCGGCUGAAAGGGCUCGCGUAGCCGGCCCUGUCGGCCCUUACAGCGGUCAGUGGGCGGCCUGGCCCCAGCUCCCCUCCCGAGCCGCGCAAAGGGAGCUGCUCCUGGCUCUCGUCCGCCCCCCAGGUUUGCUUUCCUUCCCUUCCCGAAGGUGGGCCCCGAGGUCCUCCGCCGCGGAGGCUGCGGCCGCCGGGAAGCCCAGAGCCGAGUGUCCGGAGACUAACCGGAAGUGCGGUCCCAGGCGGAGGGGCGGUGCCGGCGGCUGCCGGGAGCUGGUUGGGAAGGACCUGAAUGGCCGCCAGCAGCAGGUGCCUCUUGGAGGAGAAACAAAAUGUAAGCAAGUGUGGGAAGAGGAGAGGGCAGAAUUGCGUGCUGUGAAUACUUAUGGACCAGAGACCUUUUGA